UACGUAGGGUGCAAGCGUUGUCCGGAAUUUAUUGGGCGUAAAGAGCUCGUAGGCGGUUUGUCGCGUCUGCUGUGAAAACCCGAGGCUCAACCUCGGGCCUGCAGUGGGUACGGGCAGACUAGAGUGCGGUAGGGGAGAUUGGAAUUCCUGGUGUAGCGGUGGAAUGCGCAGAUAUCAGGAGGAACACCGAUGGCGAAGGCAGAUCUCUGGGCCGUAACUGACGCUGAGGAGCGAAAGCAUGGGGAGCGAACAGG
rnacentral:rRNA from 1 species